rnacentral:sRNA from 1 species
UUUUUUUAUGUGUUUUUUUU